UGUACCUCAUAUACCAUCUGGGUAGUCUCCAGCCCCUUGGGAUGAACAUUGAAUUCUCUAACUUCUUGUAAUUCCCUCACCCCUCCCUUCCCCUAUCCCAGUUUCACUCUGCCUCCUCCUCUAGCUGCCUAUCACCUCUCUCAUGAUUCUGCCUUCUUUUACUACCCAUAGAGUUUUCCCCUUACAUUUCUUCUUCACCCUUCCUGUCUAUCCCCUCCCCGCUUCCCCUCUCCCACCCCUUGAUCUUUCCUCUUACUGGUUUUUCACGUGGCACCUACCAGCCUUCUCCUUCCCACCCUCCCUCUACCUUCUUUAUAGGGCCCCUGCCCCCUCCCUCUUCAGUCCUGACGAAAGUUCUCGGCCUGAAACAUUGACUACUCAUUUCCACGGAUGCUGUCCGGCCUGCUGAGUUCCUCCAGUUUGUUGGUUCUUCUGAAGACCCUGACCUGGAGUUACAUGCUGACUUCUGUUCUUUGCGGGAAUAGGAGCCGUUCUUGGGGUUUCGCGACUGGCCUUUGUUCAGCACGCCAAGGGUUUGGCCUGAGAGUUUGGCUCGUAUUUGGAAGCCUAAAAUCUCAGGGCUCUGGAGACAGGCGGAUUGAGGGCUGUGGUCCAUAGUCAAGUUUUGGAGAUCUGUUUGUGACAAGUCUACAAGAUAGAGGUAUACAAGAUAUUAAGAGGAAUAGAUAGAGUGGACAGCCAGCGACUCUUCCCUAGGGCACCACUGCUUAAUACAAGAGGACAUGGCUUUAAGGAGUCCAUUUAUCAAGACAAAGAAGAGAACCGCGAGUAAGAGUGCUGGCACUUUUUCAAAUCAGAGUCUGAAGAAGUCAUGAAAAUGAAUGUGGGGACGUGGGAUUGUUGUUCAAGUAGGUGGGGAUCUGAGGAAAGACAUAAAAUGCAAAAAGGGGGUCCUGUGCUCAGUGUAAGGGGAAGAUGUAAUGCAGGCUAUGCAUAUAAAAUACACAACUGAAUUCACAAACACAAUAGAUUCUGCUGAUGCUAGAAAUUCAGAGCAGCAAACUUCUUCCCUU